AGGCAGAAGGAAGGCAGUUAGGCUGUUAGGAAGGCAGUUAGGCUGCAGUGAAUUCUACAAAGAGGCUAUGGGAAAGAAACCUGGAAAGUACCCUUGGCUGUGUACAUUUGAGUAAAGAGAGCACUAUAAAAUCAAAAACCAAUGAAAUGGUUUCCAGAACACAGAACUAUUAAGCUUAAGAAAAGGACAGAAGGAACUGAAGAGAGAGGAACUGUUUUGGAGCAUCACACUUCCACCUCAGAAGAAAUAAGGAAGGAAGGAGGAGGGUGUUCCCACGGCUCUUCAACCAGGCCGGCUCUUCAGCCUACAUCCCCAUCUCAUCAAGUAAAAGGGAUUUUUCAACUGGACCAACCAGAUGGUUUAACAGUGCACUCCCACACCAUUCAACUACGCAAGGGAGAUACACUUAACAUAUGCAGUCGUAUAACACCUACUAACAUUUUCAAACAUUAAACCUUUAAAAAAGAGUUCUAAAGAAAUAGAAGCUUGAAGUAUCAUCUCUCAAGUAUAUAGACACUACUUCAUGGUGUGGUAAUAUAUGCAUAUAGAAGCUAGUAAACACCUCCAGGAGAUGCAAAAGGAAUUAGAACUGCCACAAGGUGCAAGCAAAACCUUGAGGUGAGAAAAUCGAAUUUGGACACCGUUGAGGAGACUAUUGCAGUCAUCCAAGCUCAAGAUGGUGGAGCUUCAUCCUUGAGAAUAACCAAUGGGGAUAGAUUUAAGAGACACUUAGAGUCUGCAGCCAACAGGGCUGAAUGAGCAGAGAGUUAUGAUUCAGAAGAUCAUCUAAAAUUGAACAGCUGCCACUACUGGCAAUAAGUCUACUGCCAUUUGGUAGAUAACCUUCUUAUCACACAGAAAAAUAUCAGUACAGACAAAUAGACCGCAAAGAAAAUGAGACCAUCAGCAAAGAAGAUAAAGAAGUUUGUACAAAGCAACUUUUUAUAAAUGGAUGGCUGUCAGGCAAAAAUAAAUUUCCUGUGGACAAGACCAAGAGCAAGGCAAGAGGAAAAUAAACAUGUUUAAACUA
rnacentral:lncRNA from 1 species